AUGGAAUUUGUUCACAGCUUGACUAUACAUCUUCCUGGUCCUGGCCUGUGGCAUAACCUAUCUGUACAGCACUUCCACAGCAGUCAGCUCCUGAGAAUCAACUUUUUCUCCCUCAGUAUGUCCCUUGCAGAUGUUCAACUUCCUAAUUGGUCUCUGAGGAUUUGCUUUUUACCUGCAGACCAGGAGCAGAGAGACUCAUCACUGGAUUGCCCUGCGUGUGGUGUGAAAGCGGUUUUGGAGAAGUUGCAGGUACCCCAGGACAGCCUGCACCACCUGCCCUGUGCCACUGACAGCCUGUGCAGCCCCAAACCCCAGCCAGGAGAGGAAGAGGAGGUGGAGAAGGAAGGAGCAGAAACUUCAGACCCCCUUAGCUCCUUACUGCUUUGUCUUGCAAACCAAGGAGUUCCUUCAGCUCCCUGCUGCUGUCCUGCCGCUGCUGUGCCCCAGCACUGAGACUCAGCAUCCUCAGCACCAGGAGGAGAGACCAGGGCUGGCAGAUACACACCCAGAACUGCUGCAGGUGAGUCCAGCAAAUGACAUCUAUGGAAUCUGUGUAUCCUGAUCAGUGCUAUAACAGCACAGGUUUUGGGUUGUUUUUUUUUAACUGUCUCAUGCAUUUGGUUUUUCUCUAUGAGGGCAAUAUGUAUGUGAGAACUUCACUUCCAGGAGCUAGCAGAAUUUUUCCCCAGAUGGAAGUUCCUUGGUCAGUAACUGGGGCAGAGCCAGAAAGGUAUUAACCAUGCAGGAGCAGGAGGAAGUUUCCUUGCUGAGAAGGUUCCUUCAAACCCGUCAGCACAAAAGCCACCAGCUUCACCUCUGACCUCUCUAACCUUUAUCAAAUUUUCCAUCUGUGGCUGUUGCCUACAGAGCCAUUUUCAAGACUCUCUACGACUUGUUUUUUCCCCAAGAAUUACACUAACAAACUUGAUAAAUUUGAAAUUAUCAGUAGACUUAAAGACUUUGGGAGGUUAGUGUUUUGCUAAAAAAUCAGUGAAUAUGUGUUAAAGGGGAUUCUGGAAACUUUUCAGAAACUUAGCUGGUUUAAUUAUGAAAAAAUUACAUUUAACCAACACUUACAUAAAUCUGCAGACUUUGGACUACUUGUAUCUGACAGAGCUUUACAAAUAAGCUACAAUCAAUUCACAUGACAUUCUUUGUAACUACAGUUUGAAAUUGUCUAAGAAUAUGAAAUUAACUGAAAAAGCAGCCUUUUGUGCAUAAUGCUAAAAAAAAAUUAGCACUUUCCUCAGCUUAAGUCUGCAUGAUUUUGUCAAUUAUCUGUCUUAGCUCUGGAUGUGAAAUCAGUCACUUAAAAGCCCUGUGACAGGUGACAGAUUGUUCUUAGCAGACACACCUUUAGUUACUAAAGAGCUGAUGGUUUCUGAGGCUUAAAUAAAAACAAGUGCUCAAAUUCUGCUCCUCUGAAU
rnacentral:lncRNA from 1 species